rnacentral:rRNA from 1 species
AGUGAACGCUGGCGGUAGGCCUAACACAUGCAAGUCGAACGGCAGCACAGUAAGAGCUUGCUCUUACGGGUGGCGAGUGGCGGACGGGUGAGGAAUACAUCGGAAUCUACUUUUUCGUGGGGGAUAACGUAGGGAAACUUACGCUAAUACCGCAUACGACCUACGGGUGAAAGCAGGGGAUCUUCGGACCUUGCGCGAUUGAAUGAGCCGAUGUCGGAUUAGCUAGUUGGCGGGGUAAAGGCCCACCAAGGCGACGAUCCGUAGCUGGUCUGAGAGGAUGAUGAGCCACACUGGAAGUGAGACACGGUCCAGACUCCUACGGGAGGCAGCAGUGGGGAAUAUUGGACAAUGGGCGCAAGCCUGAUCCAGCCAUACCGCGUGGGUGAAGAAGGCCUUCGGGUUGUAAAGCCCUUUUGUUGGGAAAGAAAAGCAGCAGGUUAAUACCCCGCUGUUCUGACGGUACCCAAAGAAUAAGCACCGGCUAACUUCGUG